rnacentral:misc_RNA from 1 species
GAUCAUUACUGAGUGCGGACCCCUCGCGGGUCCAACCUCCCACCCGUGUCUCUUGAAUACCCUGUUGCUUUGGCGGGCCCACCGGGUCGCCCCGGUCGCCGGGGGGCACUGCGCCCCCGGGCCUGCGCCCGCCAGAGCGCUCUGUGAACCCUAAUGAAGAUGGGCUGUCUGAGUGUGAUUUUGAAUUAUCAAAACUUUCAACAAUGGAUCUCUUGGUUCCGGCAUCGAUGAAGAACGCAGCGAAAUGCGAUAAGUAAUGUGAAUUGCAGAAUUCCGUGAAUCAUCGAAUCUUUGAACGCACAUUGCGCCCCCUGGCAUUCCGGGGGGCAUGCCUGUCCGAGCGUCAUUUCUGCCCUCAAGCGCGGCUUGUGUGUUGGGUGUGGUCCCCCCGGUGUUGGGGGGACCUGCCCGAAAGGCAGCGGCGACGUCCCGUCUAGGUCCUCGAGCGUAUGGGGCUUUGUCACCCGCUCGGGAGGGGCCUGCGGGCGUUGGCCACCCACGAUAUUUUUUUACCGUUGACCUCGGAUCAGGUAGGAGUUACCCGCUGAACUUAAGCAUAUCAAUAAGCGGAGGAAAAGAAACCAACCGGGAUUGCCUCAGUAACGGCGAGUGAAGCGGCAAGAGCUCAAAUUUGAAAUCUGGCCCCUCCGGGGUCCGAGUUGUAAUUUGGAGAGGAUGCUUCGGGCUCGGUCCCCAUCUAAGUGCCCCUGGAACGGGCUGUCAUAGAGGGUGAGAAUCCCGUAUGGGAUGGGCGGCCGUGCCCGUGUGAAGCUCCUUCGACGAGUCGAGUUGUUUGGGAAUGCAGCUCUAAGCGGGUGGUAAAUUUCAUCUAAAGCUAAAUACUGGCCGGAGACCGAUAGCGCACAAGUAGAGUGAUCGAAAGAUGAAAAGCACUUUGAAAAGAGAGUUAAACAGCACGUGAAAUUGUUGAAAGGGAAGCGUUGGCCACCAGACGCGCCCGGGGGGGCUCAGCCGGCACGUGUGCCGGUGUACUCCCCCCCGGACGGGUCAGCAUCGGUUUGGGCGGUCGCUGAAAGGCUCUGGGAAUGUAGCACCCUCCGGGGUGCCUUAUAGCCCAGGGUGUCAUGCGGCCCGCCUGGACCGA